GACGAACGCUGGCGGUGUGCUUAACACAUGCAAGUCGAACGGUAAGGCCCUUUCGGGGGUCCACGAGUGGCGAACGGGUGAGUAACACGUGAGUAACCUGCCCUCAUCUCUGGGAUAACAGUCGGAAACGGUUGCUAAUACUGGAUAUGAGCUUGCAAGGCAUCUUGUGGGUUGGAAAGAUUUUUUUGGUUGGGGAUGGACUCGCGGCCUAUCAGCUUGUUGGUGAGGUAGUGGCUCACCAAGGCGUCGACGGGUAGCCGGCCCGAGAGGGCGACCGGCCACAUUGGGACUGAGAUACGGCCCAAACUCCUACGGGAGGCAGCAGUGGGGAAUAUUGCACAAUGGACGGAAGUCUGAUGCAGCAACGCCGCGUGCGGGAUGACGGCCUUCGGGUUGUAAACCGCUUUCAAUUGUGACGAAGCUUUUUGUGACGGUAGCAGUAGAAGAAGCACCGGCUAACUACGUG
rnacentral:rRNA from 1 species